UACAGAGGUCUCAAGCGUUGUUCGGAUUCAUUGGGCGUAAAGGGUGUGUAGGUGGCGCCGUAAGUCGGGUGUGAAAUUUCGGAGCUUAACUCCGAAACUGCACUUGAUACUGCCUUGCUCGAGUACUGGAGAGGAGAUUGGAAUUUACGGUGUAGCAGUGAAAUGCGUAGAUAUCGUAAGGAAGACCAGUGGCGAAGGCGAAUCUCUGGACAGUUACUGACACUGAGGCACGAAGGCCAGGGGAGCAAACGGG
rnacentral:rRNA from 1 species